rnacentral:rRNA from 1 species
UACGUAGGGUCCGAGCGUUAAUCGGAAUUACUGGGCGUAAAGCGUGCGCAGGCGGUUUUGUAAGCCAGAUGUGAAAUCCCCGGGCUUAACCUGGGAAUGGCAUUUGAGACUGCAAGGCUUGAGUGCGGCAGAGGGGGGUGGAAUUCCACGUGUAGCAGUGAAAUGCGUAGAGAUGUGGAGGAACACCGAUGGCGAAGGCAGCCCCCUGGGUCGACACUGACGCUCAUGCACGAAAGCGUGGGGAGCAAACAGG